rnacentral:rRNA from 1 species
CCUACGGGAGGCAGCAGUGAGGAAUAUUGGUCAAUGGACGAGAGUCUGAACCAGCCAAGUAGCGUGAAGGAUGACUGCCCUAUGGGUUGUAAACUUCUUUUAUAUGGGAAUAAAAUGUUCCACGUGUGGGAUUUUGUAUGUACCAUAUGAAUAAGGAUCGGCUAACUCCGUGCCAGCAGCCGCGGUAAUACGGAGGAUCCGAGCGUUAUCCGGAUUUAUUGGGUUUAAAGGGAGCGUAGGUGGAUUGUUAAGUCAGUUGUGAAAGUUUGCGGCUCAACCGUAAAAUUGCAGUGGAAACUGGCAGUCUUGAGUACAGGAGAGGUGGGCGGAAUUCGUGGUGUAGCGGUGAAAUGCUUAGAUAUCACGAAGAACUCCGAUUGCGAAGACAGUUCACUGGACUGCAACUGACACUGAGGCUCGAAAGUGUGGGUAUCAAACAGGAUUAGAUACCCGGGUAGUC